UACAGAGGUCCCAAGCGUUGUUCGGAGUUACUGGGCGUAAAGGGUGCGUAGGCGGCUUUUCAAGUCUGGUGUGAAAUCUCCCGGCUCAACUGGGAGGGUGCGCCGGAUACUGAGGGGCUAGAGUGUGGGAGAGGAAAGUGGAAUUCCUGGUGUAGCGGUGAAAUGCGUAGAUAUCAGGAGGAACACCGGUGGUGUAAACGGCUUUCUGGACCAUAACUGACGCUGAGGCACGAAAGCGUGGGUAGCAAACAGG
rnacentral:rRNA from 1 species